rnacentral:rRNA from 1 species
AUUGAACGCUGGCGGCAGGCCUAACACAUGCAAGUCGAACGAGUGGCGGACGGGUGAGUAAUGUCUGGGAAACUGCCUGAUGGAGGGGGAUAACUACUGGAAACGGUAGCUAAUACCGUAUACCAUCGGAUGUGCACAGAUGGGAUUAGCUAGUAGGUGGGGUAAAGGAUCACCUAGGCGACGAUCCCUAGCUGGUCUGAGAGGAUGACCAGCCACACUGGGAAGGAGACACGGUCCAGAAUCCUACGGGAGGAAGAGGUGGGGAAUAUUGAGCAAUGGGCGCAAGACUGAUACAGCAAUGCCGCGUGUAUGAAGAAGGACUUCGGGUUGUAAAGUACUUUCAGCGGAGAAGCGUGACCCACAGAGAAAGCACCGGCUAACUCCGUGCCAGCAGCCGCGGUAAUAC